GCUGGAUAACGGCAUAUGUAUACACAGGUUGAAGAUGGCCCAGAGAGAGAGAACACAAAUUAAUGAAGAACAAAGGGAAACUUUGAAAACAUUUUUUGAGGAUGGAAUGACACGGGUUGGUUCCCCCCUCAUAUCAAGAGCUGCAUCAGAUACUGGUUUGGAAACCAG